rnacentral:rRNA from 1 species
AAAACUGGUAUGAACGGUUUUACAAUAUAAAUCUUUUUUUUCUUAAAAUUUUAAUUUAUAGUUUUAGUAAAAAUACUGAAAUGAAUAAAAGGGACGAUAAGACCCUGAAAGCUUAAAGUAGUUGUCAUUGGGAUAUUUAUUUUAGUUUGUGAGGAAUACUAUUAGCUGGGGAAGUUUUUGUAUUAAAACUACAAUUUAUUUAAACUUUGUUUUUAGGGUCCUUUAGAUAAGGAAAAUUAGGAAAAGUUACUUCAGGGAUAACAGCAUAAUAAUUUUGUAGAGUUCUUAUCGAUAAAAUUGACUGUGACCUCGAUGUUGAAUUAAAAUUUCUUGCUAAGGUAAAAUGUAGUUUAGAAGGUU